rnacentral:rRNA from 1 species
AGAACGAACGCUGGCGGCAGGCUUAACACAUGCAAGUCGAACGGUUGUAGCAAUACAGCAGUGGCAGACGGGUGAGUAACACGUGGGAACCUUCCUAGGGUACGGAACAACUCAGGGAAACUUGAGCUAAUACCGUAUACGUCCGUGAGGAGAAAGAUUUAUCGCCCCUAGACGGGCCCGCGUAGGAUUAGGUAGUUGGUGAGGUAACGGCUCACCAAGCCUACGAUCCUUAGCUGAUCUGAGAGGAUGAUCAGCCACACUGGGACUGACG